UGAGCUCAAAUCAGGUAGA
rnacentral:rRNA from 1 species